GUGGUUUAAUUCGAAGCAACGCGCAGAACCUUACCAGCCCUUGACAUGGGGAGUAUGGGCCCGGGAGAUCGGGUCCUUCAGUUCGGCUGGCUCCCACACAGGUGCUGCAUGGCUGUCGUCAGCUCGUGUCGUGAGAUGUUGGGUUAAGUCCCGCAACGAGCGCAACCCUCGUCUUCAGUUGCCAUCAGGUAGGGCUGGGCACUCUGAAGAAACUGCCGGUGACAAGCCGGAGGAAGGUGGGGAUGACGUCAAGUCCUCAUGGCCCUUACGGGCUGGGCUACACACGUGCUACAAUGGCGGUGACAGUGGGGCGCGAUCCCGCGAGGGUGAGCGAAUCUCAAAAAGCCGUCUCAGUUCGGAUUGCACUCUGCAACUCGAGUGCAUGAAGUCGGAAUCGCUAGUAAUCGCGGAUCAGCACGCCGCGGUGAAUACGUUCCCGGGCCUU
rnacentral:rRNA from 1 species